rnacentral:misc_RNA from 1 species
UCUAAGCCUGUGUCGCUACCUCCCU